rnacentral:tRNA from 1 species
GCGGAUAUGAUGGAACUGGUAGACAUAUUAGGUUUAGGUUCUAAUGAUAAUAUUAAAAAUCUUGAGGGUUCAAAUCCCUCUAUCCGUA